rnacentral:rRNA from 1 species
CGGGUGAGUAACACGUAUCCAACCUGCCGUCUACUCUUGGACAGCCUUCUGAAAGGAAGAUUAAUACAAGAUGGCAUCAUGAGUCCACAUGCUCACAUGAUUAAAGGUAUUCCGGUAGACGAUGGGGAUGCGUUCCAUUAGAUAGUAGGCGGGGUAACGGCCCACCUAGUCUUCGAUGGAUAGGGGUUCUGAGAGGAAGGUCCCCCACACUGGAACUGAGACACGGUCCAA